GGCUGGAUAGCUUAGUCAGUAGAUCUUGAGACUCUUAAUCCCAGGGUUGUGGGUUCGAGUGCCACGUUGGGUG